rnacentral:rRNA from 1 species
GAUGAACGCUGGCGGCGUGCCUAAUACAUGCAAGUCGAGCGGAUGGAUUAAGAGCUUGCUCUUAUGAAGUUAGCGGCGGACGGGUGAGUAACACGUGGGUAACCUGCCCAUAAGACUGGGAUAACUCCGGGAAACCGGGGCUAAUACCGGAUAACAUUUUGAACCGCAUGGUUCGAAAUUGAAAGGCGGCUUCGGCUGUCACUUAUGGAUGGACCCGCGUCGCGUUAGCUAGUUGGUGAGGUAACGGCUCACCAAGGCAACGAUGCGUAGCCGACCUGAGGGGGUGAUCGGCCACACUGGGACUGAGACACGGCCCAGACUCCUACGGGAGGCAGCAGUAGGGAAUCUUCCGCAAUGGGCGAAAGUCUGACGGAGCAAAGCCGCGUGAGUGAUGAAGGCCUUCGGGUCGUAAAACUCUGUUGUUAGGGAAGAACAAGUGCUAGUUGAAUAAGCUGGCACCUUGACGGUACCUAACCAGAAAGCCACGGCUAACUACGUGCCAGCCGCCGCCGUAA